ensembl:lncRNA
UAAUGGGGAAUUUAGCUUUGCAGUUCGCCUAACCUUUGAGCAUUUAAAAAUGAAUUAGAACCCUGAUGUUGUGUUACACAUGGGAGCAGAGUCUGUUGCCCUAGCUCAUACGAGGGGAGUAGCACCUUACUCCAUGAGUAAUUUCAUUCCUUUCAUUGAAAUUAUUGGAAGAGUGGGAUACUAUUCAACAUUAGUAAGUAUGGCAGAAUCUGGCCCACAAAGUGCAGGUAUGGAAUACUCUGCUGCUCAGUCGUUUUAUUGUAAUGGAAGUGCUACAUUUUGUCACACAUUCCUAUAGACUAUGAAUCCAGCUGCCCUCCAUUUGAGUUCAGAUUCCUAUGCUAUUCACAGCAUUAACAGCUUAGCUGGAGUCCUGUCAUCUAACCUACCAGGUGUUCCAACAGAGUAGCAGUUCAAAAGAGAAAAAAAUAUUUCUGUCACUCACUCAGUAACACAAUCCUGAAACAAGCUGUGUUAUACAAUGGGCACUGUUCAGAUCUCUCUGUUUCAUUGUAGGGGACAACACUGAAUACUUGCAAGUCACAUGGAAGUCAUGUUCCAGUUAUUCUUUGACAAGUGCAGAUUACUGUUUCCCUAAGCCAAGUUAUGACAUCAGUGGCACCUGCCAGAAAUUAUAGUGCAGCUCAAAUGUGGCAUUCGGAGUUGGUGCCCUGUAGCUGUUUGGUCAUUCCAGUUCAUGUGUCACAGACUUCAUAAAACGAGACUGUGGGUUCUUCCCCCCCGCUACUGAACUGAUUCAAAAUAGCUCAUGCCACCAGUCCCAAAUAAAAAUGAGUGACAGAUGAAGAGAUCUCAGUGGUUACUCCCACUGCCCACAGUGAGUCUUAUACAAAAGAAGAACCUAGAGGUUAAAAUUGACAGUAUUCAAUAAUCCCACAAGAGAAUCCAUGUUUUGGCAGAAGAGGAAGCUACCAUAUUAUAAAAAAAAUGAAUAAGACUAUCAGCUUCAGACGCCCCAAGAUCUGUGUCCAUGAUGCAAAAGGACUGAAAAACUUUUGGGAAAAAAUCAUUGAAAAUCACACUCAGCAACAACAAGGCGAAGACUCUAGAUUAAGCAGAAGUGCCCUGAAGAAACUCCGACGUGAAUGGACCCAGAGGCUGGAAGGCCGAAUAAAAAUGCUACAAAAGUCCUGUGGAGAGCAGGAAGGACAGAUGUCCCUAUUAUCAAUUGAAACAUUUCAGCCAAUAGAUAAAACAGCUGCAUAAAGUUACCGUUGGAAGAUAAGAAGUAUUGGGCCUGAUUCUGAUCUCACAUAUACCAUUGUUAACCACAAGUAACUCCACUAAACUGGUGAGAGAUCAGAAUCAGGUCCACUGUUUCUCAGAGCUCAGCCUGCUCCAAAAGCUACUGUAGGUAAUAGUAAAACCCUGUGGAAUUUCAAUAGGUAUUACAAUGAAGAUGGAAGUCUAUAGUACAUGAUUGCUACAAAUCAGGCCAUGAAAAAGACAAGAACCAAGUAUCAUCAGUUCUACACGAUAUAUCAUUUUGAUGCAGUAGGACUUAGCUUUGCAUUUCGAAGUGGCAAUAUACACACCCUUAGGAAAGAAAAUCGCUUAUUUAAUGGGUUUAAUACAUUCAGGUGCCUGGGGGUAAAGUUAACUUGAGCAGUUUGCACAUUUCCACUUACAGAGAUCAAUCAUACUGUGCCUGACUUAAUGUAGAUACACGCUGUCCUGUCUGCCUUGAUGAGCCUCCUGUGAAGUGAGAUAAGAAUUACUGUGGUCAGCAGGUUAGAAGUAGCAACAAAAAUGGAAUCAGGAAAAAAAGAAUGAGCAAUUUUGGUCGACAUACAGGUGAUUUUCCACAUCUUCAUUUUUAAGCCAAGGGAAUAAAGGAUUUUGGCUUUGGUGUGGGUUAGAUAAG